GGGCGGUUGGCUCAGCGGUAGAGCGCUCGGUUUACACCCGAGAGGUCGGCAGUUCGAACCUGUCACCGCCUA
rnacentral:tRNA from 1 species